AUUUUCUUGUUUGUUUCACGUGCGCUAGUGCGGGCUUGAUGUCUUCUAUUACGGAUGAUUAAAAGCGGUAAUGCAAUAAUUAGACAAAUGUGGAAGUAGCGACAGAACCCUCUAAUCGGUUCCUAUUUUGUGCAAGAACAUUUCAUUGGAAGGACGGCGUUUGAAUGGUUGAGUGAGCCAAUUGUUUUGACUGUUAAGUAGGCAGGUUCAAAGUAAAGAUGACUGACGACGUAUCAGAUGAUUCUAGCGACUUGGAUGCUGGCAUUCCAGCUCACACAAUUAAAUAUUUUCCUCGUAGCGGUCGUCAGAAAGGACCAAGUAAUUUGGCUCUCAAACGGGCCAACCUCAUGUUCACGAUGGAAAAUGAACGCUACCGCACGAAGUGCCGUAAGCUUGAGCGUUUUAUGAAGGAUUUGGUCAUAGAGAGCGCAGCACUCUGCGACCAAGUGGCACGCGUGCAAGAGUCAAUCUUUGUGGCCAAAGAAGAGCGGCGUUUCCUCCUGAAGAAGUUCCUCCAGUACCGUCAGCAACGGGAUGGACCCGUUGAAACAGUGCGGCCAGCACCCGUCAGCGCUCCAGCGCAGGCGGGUGGUUCGACACCGCCGUCCACACCAGCACUCGGCGGUGUUUUGGACAGCACCGACAAGGCGCAGGCGAAGGCUUCAAAAAAGGUCCUUAAGCGACGUAACACUAAGGAGGGGCUUACCGAGGAAGCACCGCGGCCUAAACGAAGAAAGCCGGCAGGAGCAGACAAGCGACUAGUAGCACCUAUUCCACUGGACUCAUGCGGUCGACCCUUGUUUCCUAUUGUGUUGCCUGGUUGCAAAGUGCAUAGCCUUGGGGAGAUUGUCACUGACAGAGCUGGAUUCCACUGCCAGGAGAGCCUGUACCCUGUUGGCUACUGUAGCUCCCGGAUUUACGCAAGCGUUCUGAAUGCCAAUCAUGCCUGCAUCUACACAUGCACCAUUCUUGAUGCUGGCACUGGACCUCGGUUUGAAAUUGUUGCGGAAGAUGCACCUGAACGACCUUUUGUGGGCAGCAGUCCAGAUGAAUGCUAUGUUGCACUUUUGAGAGCAGUCAAUCGAACAUGUGGGGCAGAGGUCAUUGUGCCUGCGGCUCGAGGUGCAGAUUUUUUCGCUUUGCCUCAUCCAACUAUUCAGAACCUGGUCCAGAGCUGCCCUGGCGCACGCAAGUGCCCCAAUUACAGAUGGGUGCGCUUUGAGGUAUCCCGCAGUGCAACUGAUGAGACUGAGCGGCUGGACAGUGACCCCUACUUGAGCUAUGCAGCCUUUCGACAGCUGUGCCUUCAGCCACGACUAGCUGCCAUAGCUGCAGCAUCUGAGCCCAGCCUGCCUGGAGGCGUAACCAUCAAACAGGAGCCACUGGACAUUGUGUAGGCACAUCAAAAAUACAUAAAUCUUGGCUGGGUGCGGCCCUUACACAAAUCAGGCUGAUGACAACCUGCUAAAGACUUGCAGGCUCUCCGAGAUGGGAAGGCACUGCUUGACCAGGCAUGAAAUCCACAGCAUGUGCUCACCAACAGAAGACAGCUGCCAGAACUGCAUCACAACAAAGACAGCAAAUGUCGACAUCAAGCGGAACAUUGCGGCGGAGGCCAUGCCUGCAAAGUGCGGCCAGCUAGCUUGAUGGUAUUUAGAGUACUGUUUAAUAAAAUAUAUGGCACUGUUGCCAGCAGCAUUGUGUUGAAA